rnacentral:rRNA from 1 species
AACGAACGCUGGCGGCAGGCUUAACACAUGCAAGUCGAGCGCCCCGCAAGGGGAGCGGCAGACGGGUGAGUAACGCGUGGGAACGUACCCUUUGCUACGGAAUAGCUCCGGGAAACUGGAAUUAAUACCGUAUGUGCCCUACGGGGGAAAGAUUUAUCGGCAAAGGAUCGGCCCGCGUUGGAUUAGCUAGUUGGUGGGGUAAUGGCCUACCAAGGCGACGAUCCAUAGCUGGUCUGAGAGGAUGAUCAGCCACAUUGGACUGAGACACGGCCCAAACUCCUACGGGAGGCAGCAGUGGGGAAUGUUGGACAAUGGGCGCAAGCCUGAUCCAGCCAUGCCGCGUGAGUGAUGAAGGCCUUAGGGUUGUAAAGCUCUUUCACCGGAGAAGAUAAUGACGGUAUCCGGAGAAGAAGCCCCGGCUAACUUCGUGCCAGCCGCCGCGGUAAUAC